UCACUUUCAAAUGUACUUUGACAUUCGGUUGCGGACUGUCUCUAUCAACUUGUCUUUUCUUCUAUCUGACUUUAACUAAUUGGAGACUCGUACCUUUUCUCUAGAGACCAGAAGACAGUUAAAAUUUCACUUUUACAUUGUUAUUUUUUGGACUGCAAAUGUUAAUUUAUCUUUAGUCAACCUUAACUGAAAAGUGCUGGAGGAAAGGAAACCUGAUUAGACUGGCUAAUGUUGUCAAGAAACAAUGAUCACUAUUGUAUUGCUGUCAU